rnacentral:tRNA from 1 species
GCUGUCGUAGCUCAGUCUUGGUUAGAGCACUCGGCUGAUAACCGAGAGGUCGUUGGUUCAAGUCCAAUCGACAGCACCA